rnacentral:lncRNA from 1 species
UUUUUGAGAUUGAUGAGAAAAUUUGAAAUAGGGGUUUGAUUGUGUUCAUCAAUUUUGGGGAUAGAGAUUUUUUUUAUUUUUGUUCAUUUUUUAUUGCUUUUAACUAAGAUUGAAACUGAAACAAAUUUUCAGUUUUCGUUCAUCAAUUUGUUAAAAAAAUGUUUUUUGUUUAAAAUUUUCAAUGUUUGGUUAAAUCAAGUGGUUUAAAUAAAUUUGUCAAACAAAUUUUUUGUUCAUUUUCAAUUUUUGUUUCAAUUUUCAUUCA